ACGGUAGCCAUGAUCUGACUUAAACUUUGGAAACCUGUUCAUAGAUCCCCAAAAUAUUAAAACAAGUAAUCAGAAAAACACAUGAAAAUACUAGCUACUAGUUAUGAAAAAUGAAUGCACGUGCACUCAUGGGCUAAAAGCAGGAUUGGCAGUUACCAACUUUGAGUUGUUGGAUGCUGGAAAACUAACAAAGAAACCUAUUCCAAGGAUGCAAAAAAAUGUCUAUGCAAGGGGUUGUUUCAAACUGAGAACGUACUGAUGGAUUCAUAACACGUGUAAGCGAAUGAAGUGAAACUUCUCAUUCAUACUUGAGUAACGCAUGCAAGGGCUAUCUGCUUAAAGAGAGAGAUGCCAUCGUGGAGGAAUUUUG